UUGCCGGGCGGCUGCUAUACAUGCAAGUCGAGCGCGGGAAGCGAGCUGAUCCCUUCGGGGUGACGCUCGUGGAACGAGCGGCGGACGGGUGAGUAACACGUGGGCAACCUGCCUGUAAGAUCGGGAUAACUCCGGGAAACCGGGGCUAAUACCGGGUAAUACUUUCUUUCGCAUGAAGGAAAGUUGAAAGAUGGCUUCUCGCUAUCACUUACAGAUGGGCCCGCGGCGCAUUAGCUAGUUGGUGAGGUAACGGCUCACCAAGGCGACGAUGCGUAGCCGACCUGAGAGGGUGAUCGGCCACACUGGGACUGAGACACGGCCCAGACUCCUACGGGAGGCAGCAGUAGGGAAUCUUCCGCAAUGGACGAAAGUCUGACGGAGCAACGCCGCGUGAACGAUGAAGGUCUUCGGAUCGUAAAGUUCUGUUGUUAGGGAAGAACAAGUACCGUGCGAAUAGAGCGGUACCUUGACGGUACCUAACGAGGAAGCCCCGGCUAACUACGUGCCAGCAGCCGCGGUAAUACGUAGGGGGCAAGCGUUGUCCGGAAUUAUUGGGCGUAAAGCGCGCGCAGGCGGUUCCUUAAGUCUGAUGUGAAAGCCCACGGCUCAACCGUGGAGGGUCAUUGGAAACUGGGGAACUUGAGGACAGAAGAGGAGAGUGGAAUUCCACGUGUAGCGGUGAAAUGCGUAGAUAUGUGGAGGAACACCAGUGGCGAAGGCGACUCUCUGGUCUGUUUCUGACGCUGAGGUGCGAAAGCGUGGGUAGCAACAGGAUUAGAUACCCUGGUAGUCCACGCCGUAAACGAUGAGUGCUAGGUGUUAGGGGGCUUCCACCCCUUAGUGCUGAAGUUAACGCAUUAAGCACUCCGCCUGGGGAGUACGGCCGCAAGGCUGAAACUCAAAGGAAUUGACGGGGGCCCGCACAAGCGGUGGAGCAUGUGGUUUAAUUCGAAGCAACGCGAAAACCUUACCAGUCUUGACAUCCUUGGACCUCCCUAGAGAUAGGGAUUUCCCUUCGGGACAAGUGACAGGUGGUGCAUGGUGUCGUCAGCUCGUGUCGUGAGAAUGUGGGUAGUCCCGCACGAGCGCAACCCCUGAUCUUAGUUGCCAGCAUUCAGUUGG
rnacentral:rRNA from 1 species